CACGUAGGGGGCAAGCGUUGUCCGGAUUUAUUGGGCGUAAAGAGCGUGUAGGCGGCCAGACAGGUCCGUUGUGAAAACUCGAGGCUACAACCGUCGAGAUGUCGAUGGGAACCGUCUGGCUAGAGUCCGGAAGAGGAGUGUGGAAUUCCUGGUGUAGCGGUGAAAUGCGUAGAUAUCGGGAGGAACACCAGUGGCGAAGGCGAUCUUCUGGACGGAGUACUGACGCUGAGGCGC
rnacentral:rRNA from 1 species